GCUAGCAACUUAGAACUUGUUAAAAGAGGCAAAGGCAGAGGAGAGCAAAGGAAGGAGGAAGUAACUGGAGGAAUGCUGAGAAAGCAUUUCAGUGUGCAGCAUCAUCAUGCAAGCUCUGUAAGAGGAGAGUAAAAUCAAUACUCCUACUUGUAAAUGAAAGAGAAGAAAACAAAAACAAGCAAAUUCCUUCUAAGAUGUGAGGAACAUGAGUAAACAGAGAAAUCACCUAAGGAGAAAACAGCGAGCAGAUUUGAAACUGUGGCCACCAACGACCCGAGGGAGCGCAAAACCCAGCCCACUUGCCAGGGAGGCUGGCAGAACCCAUACCCAGUCGGUGCCCUGGUCGGUUACAUUCUGCUUUUUGAAGCAGCGUUCAAAAUCAGUUGUGGAUCAAGUCAGGAUGAACUCUGAAACAAUACUUUAAAUACCCCUGGAUGAUUUUGAAGCUCCCUGCAGCAUUUUUUAGAAGGUACCAAAUAAGAAAAAUGUGGAUGAAGAUGGAGAAAGCAUACAAAACUUUUACACACUGGUUUGAAGCUGUCACCGCGCGGAACAUAAAGAACAGGCCAAGAGCAGUGCAGGCAUCGACGACUUUCUCCAUUCAGAGCCUCCGCGCAUCCCAAAUAAAUAAACACAUCAAAACAUGCAAA